rnacentral:rRNA from 1 species
UUAACAGGAUUAGAUUUCCUGGUAGUCCUCGCUGUAAAUGAUGUCGAUUUGGAGGUUGUGCCCUUGAGGAGUGAAUUCUGGAGGUAACGCGUUAAAUGGGCCUCAUGGGGAGUUCGCCCGCAAGGUUAAAACUCAAAUGAAUUAACGGGGGUCCGCCCAAGCGGUGGAGCAUGUGGUUUAAUUCGAUGCAACGCGAAGAACCUUACCUGGUGUUGACAUCCACAGAACUUUCCAGAGAUGGAUUGGUGCCUUCGGGAACUGUGAGACAGGUGCUGCAUGGCUGUCGUCAGCUCGUGUUGUGAAAUGUUGGGUUAAGUCCCGCAACGAGCGCAACCCUUAUCCUUCGUGCCAGCAGUUCGC